rnacentral:rRNA from 1 species
CCUACGGGGGGCAGCAGUAGGGGAUAUUGCACAAUGGGGGAAACCCUGAUGCAGCAACGCCGCGUGGGUGAAGAAGCGUCUCGGCGCGUAAAGCCCUGUCGGCAGAGAAGAAAAUGACGGUACCUGAAGAAUAAGCACCGGCUAACUACGUGCCAGCAGCCGCGGUAAUACGUAGGGGGCAAGCGUUAUUCGGAUUUACUGGGUGUAAAGGGGGCGCAGACGGGGAUGCAAGCCAGGAGUGAAAGCCUGGGGCCUAACCACGGGACUGCGUUUGGAACUGCUUGGCUAGAGUGUAGGAGGGGUAGGUGGAAUUCUUGGUGUAGCGGUGAAAUGCGUAGAGAUCAGGAGGAACACUGGUGGCGAAGGCGGCCUGCUGGACCGUAACUGACGCUGAGGCGCGAAAGCGUGGGGAGCAAACAGGAUUAGAUACCCGUGUAGUC